rnacentral:rRNA from 1 species
UACGUAGGUGGCAAGCGUUUGGUCCGGAUUUACUGGGCGUAAAGAGCGCGCAGGCGGUCGUUCAAGUCGGCGUGUGAAAGCCCCCGGCUCAACUGGGGAGGGUCACGCGAUACUGAUCGACUCGAAGGCAGGAGAGGGAAGUGGAAUUCCCGGUGUAGUGGUGAAAUGCGUAGAUAUCGGGAGGAACACCAGUGGCGAAGGGCGGACCAACUGGUCCGGUACUGACGCUGAGGUGCGAAAGCGUGGGGAGCAAACAGG